UACGGGGGGGGCAAGCGUUGUUCGGAAUUACUGGGCGUAAAGGGCGUGUAGGUGGCCAACUAAGUCCGACGUGAAAUCCCCAGGCUUAACCGGGGAACUGCGUCUGAUACUGGAUGGCUUGAGUUUGGGAGAGGGACGCGGAAUUCCAGGUGUAGCGGUGAAAUGCGUAGAUAUCUGGAGGAACACCGGUGGCGAAGGCGGCGUCCUGGACCAACACUGACACUGAGGAGCGAAAGCCAGGGGAGCAAACGGG
rnacentral:rRNA from 1 species